rnacentral:rRNA from 1 species
CACGUAGGGCGCAAGCGUUGUCCGGAAUUAUUGGGCGUAAAGAGCUCGUAGGCGGUCUGUUGCGUCUGCUGUGAAAACCCGGGGCUUAACCCCUGGCUUGCAGUGGAUACGGGCAGGCUAGAGUCAGGUAGGGGAGAACGGAAUUCCUGGUGUAGCGGUGAAAUGCGCAGAUAUCAGGAGGAACACCGGUGGCGAAGGCGGUUCUCUGGCCUGUACUGACGCUGAGGAACGAAAGCGUGGGGAGCGAACAGG